AUGUUGUCUCUGGAGUCCUGCAGUAGGGCCAUGCCAAUUCCAGCAGCAGCAGAGUUGCACACUUCUUAAGAAAAAAAAUCUCCUAGAGUGUUACUAAGCUCUGUUAGAGAUGGAACACUUGACCAUAGAGCAUCUUCCCAUGAUUAACUUGGUUUAUCAGACCCACCACCUAAUAAUACUGGAUGGACUCAGCAAGUCCUUCAUUGAAUGGAGAUGGUACAUCUGGGAUGGAGCCUGAUCAGGGACCAGAGGGCAAAACAAGCUACAUGAGUAAGCAGUCCAGACCUACAUGUCAUCAACUGUGACUUUCUACAUCCUUCUUCCAGCUUCUACAUGUGGCUGAUGGGGAUCCUCUAUGACCAGCAGAAGGAAGAGGAAAAAGUCCGAGCUCUAUUAUAGAUGUCUAACUAGCCAAAAGCAGAAAACACCACAAAGAGAGAAGAGGCGGAGAGCCGAAGGGAGAAGCCCACAGUGACAUGGCAGUUAAAAUGUCCCCAACAGUUACUUCAUGAAUUAUUCUUGCACUCAAGGUUUGAAAACAUUUAAUCAACUCUCCUCCCAGGACAUUUGAUUUCUGUGCACUUCUGCACUUGUGGGCUCCAUCUGGGGGAAGAAGUGCCAAAACCACCAUUGGAAAGACUGCCCCGGAGGUAUUUUCAGUCCGACUGGAAGCAGCAGGUAACGGAAAUCUUAUGAGACAGCUUGUUCUCAGGAGAUUUUCUUGUCCAGUUUUGCUGACCAAAGCAUUCCCCUGGUUUGAAUAAACCUUGAAUUAGCAGCUGCACU